GGACGGUUGGUGUAGUGGUUAACAUAUCUGCCUUCCAAGCAGGUGUCACGGGUUCGAUUCCCGUACCGUUCA